UGGGCCUUAUAAUGGGCAUCCAUC
rnacentral:siRNA from 1 species